CGCUCUCCUGAGGGGUGGCUGCAAUACACAGCCUGAGAUGGGAUUUCCCGAACCCUUGAACCUGAUCCGGUUAGUACCGGCGUAGGAAUAGGAAAGCGCAUUUUU
rnacentral:ncRNA from 2 species